rnacentral:rRNA from 1 species
GUGACCUCAAAUCAGGUAGGACUACCCGCUGAACUUAAGCAUAUCAAUAAGCGGAGGAAAAGAAACUAACAAGGAUUCCCCUAGUAACUGCGAGUGAAGCGGGAAAAGCUCAAAUUUAAAAUCUGUCAGUCUUUGGCUGUCCGAGUUGUAAUCUAGAGAAGUGUUAUCUGCGUUGGACCGUGUACAAGUCUCCUGGGAUGGAGCGUCAUAGAGGGUGAGAAUCCCGUCUUUGACACGGACUACCAAGGCUUUGUGAUGCGCUCUCAAAGAGUCGAGUUGUUUGGGAAUGCAGCUCAAAAUGGGUGGUAAAUUCCAUCUAAAGCUAAAUAUUGGCGAGAGACCGAUAGCGAACAAGUACCGUGAGGGAAAGAUGAAAAGAACUUUGGAAAGAGAGUUAAACAGUACGUGAAAUUGCUGAAAGGGAAACGCUUGAAGUCAGUCGCGUUGUCCAGGGAUCAACCUUGCUUUUGCUUGGUGUACUUUCUGGUUAACGGGUCAACAUCAAUUUUGAUCAUUGGAAAAAAGUUAAGGGAAUGUGGCAUCUUUGGAUGUGUUAUAGCCUUUGAUUGUAUACAAUGGUUGGGAUUGAGGAACU